rnacentral:rRNA from 1 species
CCUACGGGAGACUGCAGUCGAGAAUCAUUCACAAUGGGGGAAACCCUGAUGGUGCGACGCCGCGUGGGGGAAUGAAGGUCUUCGGAUUGUAAACCCCUGUCAUGUGGGAGCAAAUUAAAAAGAUAGUACCACAAGAGGAAGAGACGGCUAACUCUGUGCCAGCAGCCGCGGUAAUACAGAGGUCUCAAGCGUUGUUCGGAAUCACUGGGCGUAAAGCGUGCGUAGGCUGUUUCGUAAGUCGUGUGUGAAAGGCGCGGGCUCAACCCGCGGACGGCACAUGAUACUGCGAGACUAGAGUAAGGGAGGGGGAACCGGAAUUCUCGGUGUAGCAGUGAAAUGCGUAGAUAUCGAGAGGAACACUCGUGGCGAAGGCGGGUUCCUGGACAUUAACUGACGCUGAGGCACGAAGGCCAGGGGAGCGAAAGGGAUUAGAUACCCUUGUAGUC